CGCGUAGGCGGUCUUUUAAGUCAGGUGUGAAAGCCCGGGGCUCAACCCCGGAAGUGCACUUGAAACUAUGAGACUUGAGUAUGGGAGAGGGAAGUGGAAUUCCUGGUGUAGCGGUGAAAUGCGUAGAUAUCAGGAGGAACAUCGGUGGCGAAGGCGACUUCCUGGACCAAUACUGACGCUGAGGCGCGAAGGCGUGGGGAGCAAACAGGAUUAGAUACCCUGGUAGUCC
rnacentral:rRNA from 1 species